rnacentral:rRNA from 1 species
CCCGGGCCUUGUACACACCGCCCGUCACACCAUGGGGGUGGGUUGCAAAAGAAGUAGGUAGCUUAACCUUCGGGAGGGCGCUUACCACUUUGUGAUUCAUGACUGGGGUG